UACCUGAACCCCAGGUGAAAACCUAUGUUGAUGUUGGUGUAAUUUUAUUUUAUAAUGAAAUCUCACACCCU
rnacentral:rRNA from 1 species